GAUGAACGCUGGCGGCGUGCCUAAUACAUGCAAGUCGAGCGAACAGACGAGGAGCUUGCUCCUCUGACGUUAGCGGCGGACGGGUGAGUAACACGUGGAUAACCUACCUAUAAGACUGGGAUAACUUCGGGACACCGGAGCUAAUACCGGAUAAUAUAUUGAACCGCAUGGUUCAAUAGUGAAAGACGGUUUUGCUGUCACUUAUAGAUGUAUCCGCGCCGCUUUAGCUAGUUGGUAAGGUAACGGCUUACCAAGGCAACGAUGCGUAGCCGACCUGAGAGGGUGAUCGGCCACACUGGAACAGAAACACGGUCCAGACUCCUACGGAAGGCAGCAGUAGGGAAUCUUCCGCAAUGGGCGAAAGCCUGACGGAGCAACGCCGCGUGAGUGAUGAAGGUCUUCGGAUCGUAAAACUCUGUUAUUAGGGAAGAACAAAUGUGUAAGUAACUAUGCACGUCUUGACGGUACCUAAUCAGAAAGCCACGGCUAACUACGUG
rnacentral:rRNA from 1 species